rnacentral:rRNA from 1 species
GACGAACGCUGGCGGCGUGCUUAACACAUGCAAGUCGAGCGGUAAGGCCCUUUCGGGGGUACACGAGCGGCGAACGGGUGAGUAACACGUGGGUGACCUGCCCUCAGCUCUGGGAUAAGCCUGGGAAACCGGGUCUAAUACCGGAUAUGACUCCAUGACGCAUGUUGUGGGGUGGAAAGCCUUGUGCGGCUGAGGAUGGGCCCGCGGCCUAUCAGCUUGUUGGUGGGGUGANGGGCCUACCAAGGCGACGACGGGUAGCCGGCCUGAGAGGGCGACCGGCCACACUGGGACUGAGACACGGCCCAGACUCCUACGGGAGGCAGCAGUGGGGAAUCUUGCGCAAGUGGGACGAAAGCC